AGCCUACUAGUUCAAUUGGUCGAGCACUGUGUCCUAUCAUAGAGGAUGUAGGUUCAAAUCCUACAUAGGCUA
rnacentral:tRNA from 1 species